rnacentral:rRNA from 1 species
AUCCCAGACUCCUACGGGAGGCAGCAGUGGGGAAUAUUGCACAAUGGGGGGAACCCUGAUGCAGCAAUGCCGCGUGAAGGAUGAAGGUUUUCGGACGGUAAACUUCUUUUGCACGGGACGAAGAAAGAGACGGUAGAGUAAGAAUAAGCCAGGGAGAACUACGUGCCAGGAGCCGCGGAAACACGUAGGUGGCAAGCGUUAUCCGGAUUUACUGGGUGUAAAGGGAGCGUAGACGGCAAUGCAAGCCAGAUGUGAAAGCCCGGGGCUCAACCCCGGGACUGCAUUUGGAACUGUGUAGCUGGAGUGUCGGAGUGGCAGGCGGAAUUCCUAGUGUAGCGGUGAAAUGCGUAGAUAUUAGUAGGAACACCAGUGGCGAAGGCGGCCUGCUGGACGACAACUGACGGUGAGGCGCGAAAGCGUGGGGAGCAAACAGGAUUAGAUACCCCAGUAA